rnacentral:lncRNA from 1 species
CCGGAACAACGGACCUGAUGGACGUGCUCCCACUUCCGCCGGGGUGGUAGACUAGGGGUCAGCCUGUGUCUCCACAUAGCUGGUGGGGCCUACACGCGCCAACUGUGCUGUGCAGCCCCCGGGCCUUCAGGACAACACAGCCACGCAGGGCAUCCUCAAGAACAUCAGUGAUUUGUCCAAGAUCCUAGAGCUGAGAGAGAAUCGUUGGGCCCCAAAUCCCGUGCUUUUACCUUUGCAUAGCGUUUAUGAUCGAAAAGCCCUUUUUAUGAGCCAGGUGGUAGAUGUGGGGCCCAGUUUCGAACAACAGAUAGUGAGAAUGCAUGAGUUAAGACGUGUAAAGCCCUCAGUGGACUGCUUUGAUCUAGUAAUGUCAGCAGAUAGUAUUUUAUGGAUGUGUGGAACUUAAUUGGGAGAUAAAUGCAAUACACACUUAGUGGGAAUUAAAGACCGGAAGAUCAUCUUAUAGUGUCACCUAAAUUCAGCAAAACAUACAAAACCAUCUAUCCUGUGUGGGAGACCAGAAUAUACCUUCUCAAAUAUGAAGGAUUGCUGCCCUGAAGACAAGAACCAGCAGAUGCAGGAGAGCUGUCCACCUGCCCUCUUUUUACCCAGAAGCAAGACAUAGAUUAGAAAGAGAAAAGGUAUCCUGCCCCACUCCUUUACCAGGGAGAACAAAGGUUAACCACUGAAGACAGCGUCAGACCCUCAUUAGCCUUGAAAUGAUAUCAGAGGAAUUAAUAUUAGCUUUUUUUAAACCAUCUUUUGUCUGCUAUUUGUUUGCUUAGCCCAAGUUACUGCCUGUAGAGACUCAGAGUCCUUUUCCUUUGUCACAUCUCUAAAAAUUUCCUAGUCUUUGUUGAAGAUGCUAUACAAGCUGGAAUUCAAAGACGCUUCUUU